GAAUUUAGGUAGGAAAUUAAAUUCAGUUGGAUGGCAGAAAGAGUGACCUCUUCACUUUGAACAAACCUCACACUUGAAAUUUGAUAUAAAACCAUUUCAGCAAUGUUCUAUUGUCACUCAGGUACCUGAAAAACUUUACACCUACAAUGAAGUAAAAUUAAUAACAGUUCCUGCUUAAUGCUCAUAUGUCACAUGUAAUUUGUUGUGAUGAAGAAAAAAGACUAUACUAUUCGUGAACAUCACAUUUCUGAACUGCAGCAAAUACUUCGCUUGCUCUUUCAGAAAGUCUCCAUACCAAAACAUCUAAAGCUCAUUAAGUAAAGGUGAAAGCUAAGUUUCUGUUCUGUCAACCUCAUAGUUGACAACAAUGUUAAGGAAGUCCAUGCACCUUCCCGGUAAUCUGGCACAUAUACUCCAACUUGCUUGAUGUCACGCUUCCUCAUAUGUACUCAUUGAGCAUCAGGGUACAGUGAUUUACAGGAUAUUAGGUGCUUUUGAGUAGACCUUGUCUUUUUUUUUAAAGAGCCAUAGUUGCUCUUUACCCAUCUGCUUUAUUCAGUCUAUAUGCUAGGCUAGGCUAACUGGUGAAGAACUGUUUCCGUAUAAAAACAAGUGUAAUAUCAGAAUUUGCGUCCGGGUCCCAACCAUGACACCAGCCAUUCACAGUUUGAAAAUCAAGAAAAAAAGUCAAAGGGAAAGCUUUCUGAAGUGCGAAAUGGACGUUACCUGUAUGCACUUUUCUAGCACUCCAACCACUCAGAGCGCUUCGACACCACAUGUCUACUGUUCUACUAUAUAGGAGCUACCAUGCAUCAGAGCCGAUUGGUAGCAUCAUAUAUUAUUCAUUAUUGUGGUGAUAAUUAUGCGCAUACCACCCAGAAAUCACAGUGAAUAAUCAUUGGCUACAUUCACAGUAGCGUUGCGUGGGCCUUAUUUACCACCGUGCAGCUGUGACAUUAUGCUUCAGCUUGUGAUAAACCCAUUCCGAUAUCAACAUCCCCCUUGUGACACAUUUAUUAUUUUUAAGCAAACCACUUACCGGUGUGAAGAUAAGAUUUGGGUCGCCGCCCAGAGUGCAAAACUGGUGGGAAGUUACUGAGGUGAAAAGAAAGAAACUCAAAUUGUUAGAAUGUUUAAGCAUCCCACUUCUUAACACCUAAAAAAUAUUUAAUACACCUUGAGGAGACGGUGAUUUUUGUGGUUGCGAGUGGCUCCAGUUUUUCAGGGUUUUGGCGGGUACGACGGUUUUGUUAGGAUGGACUGGUUAGGACUUUAUUCUUUUCCCCAGACUGUGUAAACUUCGGAGGAUUUAGUCGGCUUACUCCGGUGAAGAGUGACGUAUUAGAUACAUUUACAGUCGCCGCAGUGUGAACACAGUCAUGGAGUCAUUGGCUUUGAUGAAUAACAUUAUCCACGCUCUGCAGAGUUAUGGCAAUUUUUUGCUGUGAGACAGAAAAAUUGUUAUUGUAACAAUGAUAUCAAUCACAUAUAGAACAAAGGAGUAGAUGGAACAAAUGAAGCACAUUCAGCUCGAUGCAUAAUCCAGUGAUCAUUACUCCAGACUCAUCUCUCAAGUUUUUUUUACAAUUCCCCAAAAUAUUCAUAUUUAUGCAGAAAAGAGAGGAACGCUUUUACAUCAUUUAACAAUAAUAACUUGGUAUAUUGAUUAUUUUGAUGAGUUGUUGGAAAAACUUACUUGCUCACCAACCAGAGACACAUCUCCUAAUUAAUUCUUCAUGAAAGAAUAUGUAGAAGUAAGAGCAAUCAGAGUAACAGUGUUUGUUUGCGUUCAAGUCACUCAGCUGGAAAAAUAGAUAAAUGUCUAGGAGAGAUGGGUGUGCCGUCCCCAAUUUCUGCCUGGCAGCCACAACAGUAACAGCUUUUGCUUGUUCCCCUGUCACUUACUGUAGCUGACAAGUUGUUCUGAAAUGCAACACUAACAAUGCAAGACUGCAGCUCACAGCUCACAUUUCAGUAUGUGAGGUAUUUUUAAAUUCAUAUCACACGAAUGCACCAUUUUAUUCCGACGCAAACAGAAAAGUUGCGAGUCUAAUAACUAUAGCGAAGAAUGGAAAAAAAAAACUUCAGAAUAUACAUUGGGAUGUGAUAUACACAUAUAUAUGAGCUCAUAUUUUGACAGUCCCUGUGGAUGCAAUGGGGUUGGUGCUCCACAGCAGAGUCCCGGUCGGGCCUCGGCCUCCAGCAGCGGGUUGAUGGCUCCCAGCGGGGACUGGUGGAGCAGCGAGGCAAAGCUCUGCUCCGGCCUUUGGAGGAAAUGCUGCUUCUGGGCACUGGAGUUCUUCUCCUCCAGCGAGGGCUUCAAACCCUGAAGGCCGCCGGCAAAACGAGGGAGCUGAAGGAGAUCAUGGUGAACUUGCCAGAUGGAAUCUGACCCUGUGGCACCGAUGACAGGCAUUGAGAAUAACUAUGUAGAAAUAGACAAUCUUCAUGCUGAGGAUUUUGUAAUUCAUUGGAAAUGUUCAAGUUCUUCGGAAUAAUCUUUACUAUCGUUUAUACAUGUUUCCACCUUCAAUUCCUGCAUACGAAAUAUUGAGUGAAUAGUCUUGAAAAAUGGCCGUGAGUAAAAGCACUGAAGACUUAUAUAAGAGUAAUAUAUAAAUAAUACUGAUGCAAAAAAAUAUUGCAUAUAUUUUGCUCUGCUUGGUAUUGAUGGAGAAAGGCCAAGAGUUGGCUGAUGCUUUCUCAAAACAGUUGCCAAUGGCAACCGGAUCACCAAAAGGAUCCCAGUCCAUCCUGAUGUUCCGGUCAGGGCAACGUACCUCUGAUGAAGAUGCCAAUGUGGAGAAAUUAUAAAUUUCAAAACUGGCAACUAACCAAGACUUGAUACAUCUGGAUGUAGCUUCUAAUGUACGCCAGUGCUUCAGUUUGAUUAGAUAUCUUAGGCUUGGAAAAAAAUUGUCUCUUUUGAAUAGUGGUGGAUACAUAUAAAAAUAAAUGAAUAAAGAAACAGAGCAUCAAUGGUGGAUGGGAAACAGUGAAACAUAUAGAGAUUGUGAGCAAAAAGAACAAUUAAAAAUUCUAUAUGUUCUAUUUACAUUAUUGAUGCAUCAUUUGUUUGCAUAUUUUAAAUGCCUCACACUUAAACAGCAAGCUCAGAAUCCCUUACUGACCUUGUGAAAUAUGCGUCCAUCCACCCAUUAUCUUUAAUGGGUCAAGGGGGUGCUGGAGCCGAUCCCAGACAACAUUGCGCGAAGGCCCGGACAAGUUGCCAGACUAUCGCAGAGCCAACACGUAGUGACAGACAAGCCUUCACGCUCACACCUACGGGCCAUUUAGAGGCCUGUCUUUCAACAGGAGGAGGAAGCCGGUCCACCCGCGCUGACACGAGGGGAACAUGCAAACUCCACACAGAAGGGGCUGACAAACCUGGUAAUUAUUACCAGACACCUCUUGCUUUGAGGCAAAAGUCCAAGCCACAACAGCAUGUGGCCCUUUUCGAGAUGUAGACACAUAAUCAAACGCGGGUAGGUCAGUUAACCAACUGCAUUUCUUUUCUCCUCGUCCAUAAAUGUGUUAUUUCCACCUGCUCUGAUGAAACGUGAUGGAAAAAAACAGAAACUGAGCUGAGUUCACGAUUUGAAGGACCUUAUUUCCCUGAAAAUCCAAUGGGCUGAGCAAGAUGUGCGACCGGCCAAAACCAUGAGGCUGGAUUUAUUAGAGCCCGCAGCAUUGAAAGCAAAUGAAGGAGUGAAGUAAUAAUACUUGGGUUCUGGGAGGUAGUCAUUGCCUGCAGAGGGAAGCCGGGGCCUCAGCUGAGAUGUUGACAGGAAGGAUUGAAAUGCUAAGAAGAACCCUGCUGCUCCCCUCGGAAACCAAUCCGGUCCAUUUACUUUUGAAAAUAACUUAUAAUUAUAGUCGCUCCACCGAUUGAUGUACAUAAUUACUAGUUUGAUAUGGAAAGGAACACGAGUCCAUUUAACAAAACCACAGUUAAAAAGAGCUGUAUUUACGAUUCUGAAUACACUUUUGUAUAUAUAUAAGCCGCUCUCCCUCUGUGGUUACCUGAGCUACGCCUUUCUACCUUUUCGUGUUUGUAGUGCACGUGAGCGUACCCCACCUCCCAGACGCUGCUCUGCUCUGUUCUCAAUGGUGGUUAAAGCCGUCCCGACGGACAGCUCUGUAAUGUUAGUGUUGGCGCUCUUACUGGGCCGUAUGUACAUUUCUUUUUUCUAAUAAUAAUAGUAAUGCGGGUCAUAUAAAAAUGUCAAAAUCAUUGUUCCUGCAAUACACUAUAGUAAUUGGUUUAAUGAGCUGCCGUUGCAAUCUUAUAAUCCCUUCAUAAUUAUCCUCAACAACUUCAUACACUCACCAAACUCCUAACAUCAAUAUAAAUAGCUAAGUAAAUGAAAUAUAACAGUAAUAGUUACCAAAAGUAGAUUUUUUGUCACGAUAUUGACAUAACAGCGGUAGUUAACUUUCUAAAGCAGUAAAAUAUGAAUGAAGCGAAGAUACAUAGCAAGUAAUAUUAGUUAGUGCAGUACUAUGUAGUUAUAGUAGUAUUAACAACACAUUGGGCCUGAAUAGAUAAGGCGGCAGGAUUAAUCAAGCCUGGCUGUCGAUUAGGAGCAGCUGCACAGAAAAGAAACAUCCAUGGUAAUGUUUGUGUCAUGAAACCUGGUCGGUUCCGCCAGGACAACAGUAACAUUCCAGCAUCAUCUGCUGUGUAGGUUUUGUGACUCAGCCCUCAGGUGGAGAGAGGCUGCGCUUUGCAACAUGAAAACACGGCUAGUGCUUCAAUUGGCUGAGGGACAUAAUAGACAGAUCAGAAGGUUUCAACCGGAGGUACGUGGUGCCAAGAGUCUCCAGCUUGCAAUCCAAGCUCCACUCUACACUGAUUUCAAUGAUUUAUCCCCCCAACCUGAACCGCCACCCUUUGGUUUAAUUUAUGCUAAUCAGGGGAAUCAGCUGCCAUAGGAUUUCAUUGAAAAAAAGAAGAAAAAAACACUCCAUAUUAGAGGAAAUGCUUAUACUUUAUUUUACUACUUUAUAAUAAAUAAAUCCAGAGCAAAUUAAUUUUUUCUUUGCCCACGCACACACACACACACACACACACAGAUUACCAUUAUCCAGGGCCGUGCUGUUAGCGUGUCGAAAAUAAAAAAAUAAAACUACACAAUGAAAAAGACCACUUCCACCUGGGUCACAAACAAGACCUGAGAAGCAAAUACAACCGGAAUGGUUUGACAGUUACUGUCAUUCCCUUCAGGUGACAUAUUACCAGCGUGGACGACAGUGAGUCCGUUACAAUCUGGGAUGUUGUGAGUAAUGGGGGCACCUGACUGGGGUCAAUGUGGCACUUUGAUGCUAAACGUACCCAACAUUAGCCAAUGCUAAAAGGACCCGUCUGGGCCCCACACGCACACUAUUAACCCACUCGCAGGGCCUGGCUGGACUGGCAAAAAUGGGGAAUAACGGGAUUUGGUCUGUCCGCGAAGGCUUGUUCAGUGUAGGAAUAAAUAUGGCGAGCCGGAUAAAUGUGUGAGACAUCAAAGUGUGUGUGUGUGUGUGUGUGUGUGCGCAAUGUGUUUCCCUGUCGGUAGAGGCGAACACUGGCCUGGAUUGUGUUCACACAGGCAGUCAGAUAAAUGAAGCUGAAGGGUCGGAGUUGAGUGGCGACCGUGGCAGCUGUCAGCACUGUGGUGUGUGUGUGAUGUACGAGCUCAUCUGUCACCACCAGUCCCUUCCUGCGGAUGGCGUGGAAUAGCAAUCCGACGUCAUUUCCAAUUCUCCCCUCGGUUAACUUUCCCCUUGAAUUUUGAGUUUGAUUUCUUUUUCAGUUUAAUUUGCAUAUCCUCUGUGUUUCCCAUUUUCAUAUGUUGGCCCGGGUAAGUGAGACUGGGUAAAUAUUGUUUGGGUCUCCUUUGUCUUGCCCUUGCUGUGGGUAUUAUGAUGCAAAUUUUCGCCUGUUGAUGGGCUCGACAAGUGAAAAAACAUGGAUACACAAUCACAAGAUUAAAACUGGAAAGUGCAUUGCUUGAAGUCCAUUUCAAAGGCACAUGAAUCACUAAUACUAAAUGGAAAACCUUUGGCGAUGUUGCUGCAGAUGUUGGCAAUAAAUAUACAUUUAAAUAUAUACAGUUUCUAGGCUCUCUCAUUUGGCUAAGUUAAAUGAAAGAAGCCAAAGCACCAACCCACACACACACACACACACACACACACUGUCUCUGGCCAGUGUUCAUCCGCUGGAGACGCUGACUGAAUACCAGGGGACACUGUGGUGCCACAAUGGCAACGUGAAGCCAGCUGGCCACACCUGAGUCGAAAACCCAAAGAGGAUGAGACACAGAUGCAGAGCACAAACACCAACAAACAAACAAACAUAGACCGCGUUCAUCUGAUUAGAAUACCGAGAUGAAGCCCUCGGGGAUGCAAUAAAAGAAAAGAAUGCUGAUGAAGAGAACGCGAAAGACUCAGAAUAACCCGCUGAAUUCCUUGCAGGCCAAAGUUGCUGAUGUGCGAUGUGCUUUGCUCCUUACAGAUCCAUACCCUUAAUUCUCAAUUAUCAGAUGGUUCAAAUAGAUCUGCAUAAUGAAUGCAGAAAAAGAAAAAAAAAACUUUCUGAAAUAAGUGCCGCUCAGUAAGAGCACAGGCGGGUGACAACACGACUCCUCAGCGCCUCCGGGUACCCGCAGCGUCGGAUCCUCCGUGAAAGACAUCGUAAUAGCUGGUCAGGUACAUCUUUGAGGUUAAGUGCAAUAGCGGGAGAUGUGUUACCACAUGUUCUUUUACUUACUCCCUCCCAAGCACAUUGAGCAGUCAUCACCGGGAUCUCUUAAUGGCUGUCCAUUCUGUCCUCGUGAAUUACACCGCACAUAAUUUCCACCUUUGUUCAGGUACGCCGGUUGCCAAGAGCCCGGCGACUGGCGCGUGCAUAAAUCAAAGAGCAGUUCACCGUUUGGAUUAAGGUUGCCGGAUGCGGGGGCUCUCGUUGGAGCCGCGCUGUAAAGCGUAGGCAGGAGCGCUCUCCCGGACGCGGCGCCAAGAGCACACGCCGAGCCAAUCGCAAAGCAUGACAAGUGCACAUAAGCAUGUUUUAUAUGGCUAGUUUAAUGCCUCGCCGUGUUAACAUCAAUCACGUCCUGAAGGGAACGUGCCCUUCAAAAGCAGUGGGUUAGGUAUCGUCUCACGGCAGGCUGAGGACGACGGAGAACAGGCCUUUUUUUGUUUUUUUUUCCCCGGGUUAAUCAUACCUCCCAAAAAUGCUACAAUUGAUUCCUAUGACAGAAAACAAAUCCGGGGAUAACAGCUGAACAAUAUGCAAAAAAAAGAAAACAUUUGUCGCGUACAUCAUCCUAUUGGUACCGUUUAUAUCAUUUUUCUUCGGCAUCCAUGGAAGGUUAAGCCUCCCUACGGAGUUCUGUUUCACAGACGCAGCACUUUGUGGCAUUCGGAGGGUUACGGAAAAAACAACCACCCACACCGACUCAUGCGGCGUGUUUGCAUAAAACAAAAUAAUUGCAUUGCAUCCAUCUUCUGGAUUGUACUUAUGCCGUACUCUCCCUUUUAUCGUGCCCCCCACAAACGGGAAAAUACACAAACAAGGAAAAAACAGCAAGCCAACGACAGAGGGACAUAUAUGAAAAAAAGAGCCAUUGUCUUAGAGGUGAGCAAGCUUACGACCAACCAAACCCUCAUCGGGUGAGAGAAAUAGUGACUGCAGGCUACUCUCCUCUGUUCUCCUCUCGCAAAUGCUGUUUGUUUGUGAAAGUGACGCUUUUCUCUCUCUUGAUCUGCUGUGCCGCACAUCGUGGUCUUUAAUUCCAGCCGUCUCGGAUGCCGAGCGGACGCGGCCACUGUGAACCUCUACGACCCGUCUCUUUAUCGUCUCCUGUUAAGGGGAUGUGUCCAUUGGCAACUCUUUGAACAUUGCAGGGAGAGGGGGGGAAUUAAAAAGAAAGUUCUCCGCUGGCAAUGCCAAAUGGGACGUGGCGAGGAGCGGGAUGGUUGGCGUUCCACAACGUUGGGCUUUGUGCCACAGCUGUCAAGUGCAGGUGUGCAUAUUUUCUCUUGUUUUAAACAAGAUUUGUAGUUGAAAGGCGAGUCACGGAGUACAUUUUGAUCCCAAAGGCCAUGAACAGAUUUUAUUGUUGGUCCGGGGUGACUGAAUUGAUUGACUUUUUGAUAUAUUUGAUUUUUUUUUUUUUGUUAUCCUUCAGGCUUCUAUUGUCUCCAUCACUCUGUCUUUUGUGGGGCUGGUCGUCUCUGAGGCAGCAGAAUUCGGUGUUAAUGCAUCACUACCACUUGUCAGGCCUGUUAUAAUAGAUUUUGAAGAGGAUUUGUAAGGACACAAUGCCAGGAAGGAGGAAAUUAAUGACCCGAGGGCUACAUUUCGGCCUCAUCCUCCGGCCUUAUCCUCUCACUGCUUUUUGAUGCAGUCUCUAUGAGAUCAUCCAAAGCAAAAACCAUAGUUUCAGGUUGAUAAUACGAUAAUACGAAAGAGGGCAUUUGGUUUGGCAGCAAACUCUUCAGCUUCUGACGCGGUCAAAUUAAGCAACCAAUCCAAGGGAAAUUCAGGGAAAGAAAAGAGAGAAGGUUUAGUGGGAAGAGUAACAAACCUUAUGUCUGCAUUGAGCAAACCUACGAGCCGGAACUUCAGCAUCCAACUACAGACCAGCUCCCACCGGAUCGGACAGAGGGACUGGCAGGCAACAAACACCAGUACAUUAUUCCCGGGAGUCACUGGACUCGAAUCCCUAAAACAAAUGUGUUUAUACCAGCAGCAACAGUGCUGCGGAGCAGAGAGAAGGAAAAGUGAAAGAAAAUACUCAACACCGUGAUGAUGAUGAUGAUGAUGUGGAAGUAUCGAAAGCCUGCUUGUGUGUUCCUGAGACGAUUAGAGAUGCGAAUGAGUAGAGCAGGUAGGACGCCGUCAAAAGACGGGAUGGUGUCCGGGUGGAGGAGAGGACAAGCGGAGGAUGGUGGAUCCCUUUUCAACGGACAACAGGUCAUAAACAAACACAAACACACAGCCAGAGGCCGAUGGGGAACAGGAGAUAAAUAAAAAUAAAAAUGUUUCAUCUCGAUCCCCUGACCGAUUAUAUUGAGGUCUCAAUUGCCUUAUUUGAAAAAAGAUUCUGACACCGAAUUCUGAUGAAAUGACGAACAAAAAUAUUAUCUGUAUUAGCAAAAACAGUAGACAGCAUGUUGUAAGGUAUUUAUGGUUCUUAAUGGUUUUAGACACACACAAAGUAAUCCAUGUAACAUUCUAUCUUUCUUUUAUGUCUUGGUUUUAUGCAAUUAUUCAAUUAGUUUGUUUAAACAUUGUUUUAUUUUUUUCCUUUUAAUUUGUAGUAUAAACAAUAAUGUAAUGUAAUAAUGUUCCACCUUUGUAGGACAGAAAGUCUGUGCUCUUUGAGGCACAUUGUGUUCUGGGUCAUCUGACUAAAGAUGUUUGUGCGUUGAUGUUUAUAAUCUUGUAAUGACAGAAUGAUCGUCUACAUCCUACUUCACUGGUGCAAUGCUCAGUCCUGGGAGAAGGUUUUCAGUCUUCAGAUUUCUUCCUUAUUUUCCCCCAUUUCAUAGGGUUUUUUAGGGUGUUUUUUGGAAUUAGACUAGGCAUGUUAUAUUAAUGCAUAGUGCGAGUAUUAUGUAAUCAAAAGAGUGGAAUGUAAUGGCAACAAAUUAUUUUUACUCUUCAAAAUGUUUACAACGUACAAGGUUUGAGAUGGUUUGGCCAUGAAGAAGAAUUGAGCUGGAGUGUCUCACACUGAGACGAUGCCGGUCUUCUGGCUGUAGAGACACAACAAGUUGGUUUGGAGGCCACCUAUAGGUAUAAGAACUGCCUGGCCCUGUUGUGAGUGGAGGAAGGUUCUUGGCACCUUUUUUCCUUUGCAAGGAAAUAAACAGAGAAAGACUCAUUUUAGCCUUUAUUCUUAUUUACCUAUUGUCUGUACGAAACACGAGCAGGUGUGCAUAUUUUCUCUUGUUUUAAACAAGACUUGUUUUUGAAACGCGAGUCACGGAGUACAUUUUGAUCCCAAAGGCCACAAACAGAUUUUAUUGUUCGUCCAGGGUGACUGAAUUUUUUUAUACAUUUUUUUCUUUCUUUUUUUUUUCAACCUUCAGGCUUCUAUUGUCUCCAUCACUCUGUCUUUUGCGGGGCUGGUCGUCUCUGAGGCAGCAGAAUUUGGUGUUAAUGCAUCACUACCACUUGUCAGGCCUGUUAUAAUAGAUUUUGAAGAGGAUUUGUAAGGACACAAUGCCAGGAAGGAGGAAAUUAAUGACCCGAGGGCUACAUUUCGGCCUGAUCCUCCGGCCUUAUCUUCUCACUGCUUUUGAUGCAGUCUCUAUGAGAUCAUCCAAAGCAAAAAUUAUAGUUUCAGGUUGAUAAUUUGUUGUCUGAAAGAGGGCAUUUGGUUUGGCAGAAAAAGAUAAUUGCAAACUAGAAAGCUAAACCAUAUAUAAAUAAAAAGGUUUUUAGUCCUAAAGACCUUCAUUGCAUCUUGAACGCUAGCAUCUAACCUACAUUUUGGAAUUAUUGUCACUGUUCCCUCUUAAAUCUGAAAUACUUCAUUAUCGUCCUUUUCACUCAAAAUAAGUCGUACACUUUCCGUGAUUAUCACUGUCAGCUUUCAUGGCACACUUUCAAUUAAAGCGUCAAAUCUGUGGAGCUCCUCAAGCGCACACGCUCAAAGGAAAUAUCCCAAAACAGGUAUAACAUGACCUCUGAAAAUCCCGAGGCCAUUUGAUUGGCUGUAAAUAAAUGGCUUCCCAAACCCCAUUUGAAGGGUACAGUACUUGAGAUAGACUUAUUUUGUGUUUGCCCAAAGGUCUAACAAGUGGGCUUGUUAUGGAAAACAACCUGACAGCCUUUUAAAGAUGUUUCUUUUUUAGGUUAAAGAGUUGUUUUUUUUUCCCCCUCUGCAAAGCCCGGCGUCUUCUACAUUGACCACAUCUGUCAAUAUAAUGGUAAUAAUUCCAUGGAUUUGUGCCGGCCCUUUUCCAUCAUUCUCCGAAGAUGCCACUUGACUGUUUCUUUCUCGAGCUGGUCUUUCUUUCACCAGAGCCUUUUGUCCUGCCCUCCUCCCUCUUUCUCUCAUCUUUUUCUGACUUUAAAGUCUGUCAAUGGCUUUGUCCCUUUUCGUCUUUUUCAAUCUCACUCCUCGGCCCGAUUCGUUCUUUUCCAAUGUUCCAUUUCCACUUCCUUCAAAUCCCCAUAUAUUCUCUUCUGUCUUUCCUUCCCAGGCACUCCCCACCCCCAUUUAUUGUCAACUUCCUUUCUAGCCAUUGUCUCACUCGUCUAUAUUGUUGUACUUUAGUCUGCUCUGAUUUCUCCAGCUCGCUGAUGCCAUAAGACAGGAGAGCUUGCUGUAUGUAUAUCUGUGCAUGUGAGCUUGACAGUAAAGCAUAAUAACACUUCGGACGCUGGCUGAAACAUUUUUGUAGGUGAAGUGGGUUUACAAUUGGAUUUUGCGUCAAAAAGGCCACAUCUUCCCUCAGUUGUCGGAUCCUCUUUUUCUCGGCUGCCCUGUGUUCACAGAUGACGAUGUACCAUAAACUUUUGUUAAUAUCGCAGUUUGAUUGACACAUUUCAGCUCAACGCAGCGGCUGUGCAGGUACACUUUAAUCACUUUUAGACACCAGGAAGCAGCGUUUAUUCGAGGUGACUGCAUGAAUGGCCUGAGGUGCCACUCUUUGAUUCCCAAUUAAAUGCUCAAAUGCUUUAAUGUGUUUUUGGAGCAAAAUAUGAACCUCCGUUAUUUGAUGCUCCGGCACCUUAAUACAGCGGUGAGCACCGUCACCUCAGUAAAAAAAAAAGUUCCCUAACCAGCAACAGUCUGUUACAUUUUAGUUUUGGAAGAUUACUACCUGAAACAAACCGACCAGUUCUACUGACUAUGUUAAUGUUCUUAUUAUUUGAUCAUAUAUAUUAUGAACUAUAGGGAACAGUCCUUUAAAUAACAGUCAAAAAUGCUCCAUCAACAAGUAAAAGUUGUUCUUUAAUAAUAAUUUAUUAUAUGGGACCAUUCUGGCGUUUGGACGAAGGUCAAUUUAUGGACUGAGGCAAGACAAAAUGUUGAUGUUAAAUUUCAGCUGUUGUGAUUUGAGUUUAAUUAUGUGCCAUGAUGAGGUUGGUAUUUACUUACAUACCUGCAGCUGCCCUUGUGUGGUAAUUUGAUUUCUGACCAUGUGUUAGUCUUGUGAAUCACAAAUAACAAUGUGAUUAAUUUUACUAAAUGUCAGAGGGUUUAACUCUUGUUAGAAAAUUAAUUAACUAUGAACUAAGACUACAAAGCUAAAGAUCGGCUCCCCAGAAAGUCCCCGCCAGUGCUUUGAGCAGCCAUCUCUGAUGCACAGGAUAAUCCGCCGCCUUUAAUUAUAACUGAAGUACCUAUUUUGUGACGUCGCCUUCAAAUCACUUGAGCUUUGACGCAUUGUCCCACGCACGUAUCGUGGGCGUAUGUUUUUGUAAGUUUACCAGGGGCCUGUUCACACAUCAAGACAUAUUUCAACUUUCAUUCUAUAUUCAACAAGAGAUUGAUUUUUUUUCUCUUUGGUAUUGUUGACGUUAGGUGCUUCAUUUUUCUUGAGUGACACUCCUUGCACAAGGAUACAGAAACCAGAAUCCAUCAGCGCAGUUUAAGUACUAGACUGCGAGUCACCUGGAUUGACCUGAAAUACAGUUAAAAGCAGCAGUUUUUCUUCAACAUGGUGGUGAAUUCUACAUGUGAUGAUGCCCGUCACAAAUACAAAUAAUGAUGAUGAUAACCACUGUCUGUUUCUCUCCGUCCAUCACUUACACACACACACACACACACACACACACACAUAAGGCGUGUCUUUAGCCGUCCUGUGAUGUUGUUGCUAGGUCACGUAACUAGGGUUAAAGGCCUCCCCCACACCACCACGCACACACACACACACACACACACACACACACACACGUUGCCAGGUUAUUAAGCACUUGUCUGAUGUCAGGGUUUCCGUUGGGUGACGAAAAUCAUUAUAACAUAUAAUAUAUAUAAUAUAUAAUAUAUUAUAGUUAUAAUUAAUACACCUUUAAUAGCAUCCGGCCUAUACGUCGUAUAUUGAACUUUAUAUAUCAUAGUUUUUUAAAGAAUAUCAACACUUCUCAACUAAGCAAGGUGAUGAUCAAUGACUGCGACGGGACAGAGGGGUCAAAGUAUUUUUUUUGCAGUUUAAUAUUGUCACAUUUAUAACGCCGUGUUCUACGAUAGCACCAUCAUCCAAUGUUAAAUAGUUAUAUCGUAAGGCUACAUGAACACAUUUAGAAUUAUAUUUUCAUAUGACUGGAAUUGCACAGCAAAGUGGUCAACAAAAAUGAUGAAGUGUAAUUUACACGCUAGUUUGAAACUGCUUGAAAGUAGUGAAGUAUUAAAUUCAUUCUGAAAAAUGGGAAAGCUUAGAAAACAGUGUCUUAAUGGCACAAGAUCUGGACCAUUAAGAAAACUGUUCAUACCCAAGAGGAAAUGCAAAUAUUCAAUGUGCGCGAACACAAAUCACCCCUUUGUCACACGGUUAUUUCGUGGAAACAUGCAUGUUUCUCCGGACAAGUUGACACUGAUUAGCAACAUUACAACGGCUGUCGAGAACGUCGCAGUGCGAAUGCUGCUUGUCAUUUUGUUUCGAUGCCAUUUAGAGUACCUUGUUCUUUUUCGCUUUUGAUAUAUCGGAUUUGUACACACUCACGAGUCACCUCGCAUGACUGGCGGACCCCGUGUCUGCUCCCCUGGGCGCUGUGGUCCCAUUUACUUGAAAUGUAUUCUAUCAGACUUUUUAAUGUAAAAGUGCAAUAAAGCCAUUUCAUGCAAUGUUGAGCAACUUUGCCACAUUAUUGUAAGGUCUCUGUGGCUUGUUAAGGCGGGACCGGACUCAGCGACCACAGUCACACACACGCACACACCUUCAUGCACCCUCUUUGUGACAGGUAGGUGAAUAGAAAUGAACAGAUGAACAGCUCAGUAAACCCCUGUGUACAUUCCAAGGGGAGUGGGGUCAGCGGCAGUACGGUAAGCCUGGUUUGAGACUGUGGAAUAUGGAUUUUGCUGAGAUGUCACACCGUAUUUUACAGUGUGGCAACAGCACGUUGGGGGGGUUUCAAAAAAAAGUGCUGAAAAAGUCAAGGUUGUGGUUGAAAAUAGCUUUUCAUUACGUCACCUGGUUUUCAUGUCAGGAACAUUUUUACUGCAGGAUCAACAUCAUUUUUUGAGUAUUGAAAAAAAACUGCCCGCAGAAGCAUCAAAACUCGUGCUCGCAAACUUUGCACAGCAGGUACUCAUGGGAGGCAACUGAAAAGACAGUGGUGGAAGCUGAUGAGCUAUGCAAACAAACCAGUCAGGGGAAUGCUCAUUAUUGUGCGUUUUUGGUUUGUUUGUUUGUUUGUGUAGCUUCCCCCUCCCCGUCCUCCCUCUACUGUUUAUCCCUCAACGGCAAACAACGUUGUCUCAUCUUAGAGGUUGCUCUUCUCUUGGUGACACUGCACUUCUCUCUAUUUGAUACGCGAGGUCUAGCUCGUUCGAGAUGUUGGCCCGCUCGGUGCCAGCACUGACAUGGCGAGUUAGCAACAAGGGUUCGAGUAAUUGCUCUGGCUCCAUCCUCUCUCCUUAUUCAUCCAGCUUCUUUGUCAAAGGCUUUUUCCAAGGGAGGAAGUCUAAUGACAGAUACAGCAAAGGCAGUUUUGUUAAGAGGUCUGACAAAAAGGCACAAAGAAAGAUGUGAACCUUUUAAUGUAAUGUAUCUAUUUAUUGUGUUCAGUUGGAGCCUCGAGUGCUGAUGGGGGAAUAGUGUCCGUCAUUGUCCCAAGCUCAUUUUAGUGGGCACUUUGGUUACUUACUACCUGUUACAAACAAAACGAGGUAUAGUCCUCUGAGUCUCUCUUAAAGCUUAGGCACAAACCUAAUGGGCCUUGACUGGUUGUUCCAUUUCUAACGUCACAUUGCAAUGACUUGACGGUAAAGGUUCAUAAAAAGGGCUUGAACAUCUGCUAGAAAGCCAUCAAACGCUCACAGAGUUAGCGCGAGUGCGCUUCAAAGUCCGUUAGAUUGGUCCCUAGUCUGUGUCCAUCUCACAUUCACAACUUUAAAUUACGCAGACUCCGCGCUGUAGUUUGAAAAAUUGUAUUGUACAAAAAUGAUCAGGGGAAUUGCCAAACGACCCUUAUCAAUUUCAGAUGAAUCCGGCACUUAUCUUUUCGUCUGGUCUGCCGCUAUCUCGGCCACAGCCACGUCUACGCUGGUUGGAAGCAGGCGGCCUGUGUGAGGGGCACACAUUCUUCCUUUAUGAAUUCCAGCCCAUGAGAAAAAGCACAUGCAUCAUUUGUCCAACGGAUCCGAGGUGUUUUCAUCAGUGUGCUGCUCAGUUGAUAACUGUUAAUUCCAUCUGUAAUCAGAGACCAAAGUACUUGAUAAAAAGAAACACACUAUUACAGAAUGGUGCCGGUUAAUAAUAAACUUUAAGAUUCUCCAAUCAGCAGACGCCCAGAUCAUCUUCAACAACAUUGAAUGCAGUCAACCGCCUCUGCAGAGUGUAUUUAAGCUUUCCCCUUCAGCAAGUUAGAUCCCCUCCGCCACCCGAAGGCAUCCAUUGUUAACUUCAAUUAAGCACAACCCGGCAGCCUCGAAUUACAAACACACACGUCCGUGCUUCAGACUCAGUUAGGACUCGGCAUUAUCCAGAUUUGAGUGCAACAUCCUGGGAUGCAAUUAGCGAAGCUCUCAAUGGAAAUAUCUGGGGAAUAUUUUGCCCCCAAAAAGCCAUGGUGCAUGUAUCUGUUUGCCCCGUAACGCCUUCACACGUCGCAGCUUUCCUUCAAACUUGUCAAAUGUUGCUUUUUAUUUAAUAUUUUGAGAUGCAAGUUGAAGAUAUAUUCUGGUGCGACAGUUUGUGCCACAAUUCUGUUGGUGAGUCAACAACUGGUCUGCGUAGUCAUUAAAACAGGAUUAUAGAAAUGUUGCAAUUGAUACAGUUAUAAUCAGCUUAAAAAACGUUUCACUUAGUUUUGGCAGCAGUUGGGGGUUAUUGACAACUGUGAUUGUAGCCAAAAUCUGUUUAAAUGAUCCCGUACUUGUUUGAGGACAGUAACAUAAAUGCAAGCAGAUUCUUUUCCCCCUCAUUUUAACUUCCAUCGUAUCAAUUUCCAUUAGACCUCCAACAAAGCCAGCAACAGCACACCACAGCAUUUAGUGGGUAGUUGCGUUUAAAAAAAUGACUAUGUGGAAUAUCAUCCCAAAAAAAAAACAGUUAUCUUUGCGUUUAGGCAGCUUUGUCAUCCUUUGAUGUUUGAGUGUUUAACAGGUACGUUAAUGAGUAAUACAACUAUAGCAGAGAAUGAAAUAAUUAAUAGUAAUGCUCUUAUAUUCCACCUCAGAGGGCUCAGCGUGUGAGCGACAGAACAGGUGCGCCCGAGGGUGACCUCACUGACCUCGUGGAAAUGACCUAUAGUGCGUCGUGCUGGUCUUGCAAUUGCCGGAACACAAUGGGAGGGGCCUCCAUCACGGGCCCUAACCACAAUGGACGAGACAACUCAUUUCAAAUGCAUUCAGAGCAUUUUUUUUUUUUUUGCUGAUUGCUUCAUCCAUGCGCAUAUGUGUGCCUUGGAACAAACAUCUACAUCUCCUUGUGUGAUCGUACCGUACAGUGUGCCGUGUCCGUGUGUGUGUGUGUGCGUAGUGCUGCAGUGCUGUGAUCGUCCUGACCUAGAAAAGCACUGAGACAGAGAGCGGAGACGCUCUGUGCGGCGACAGAAGGAGGGGGAAUCCAACCG
ensembl:lncRNA